rnacentral:rRNA from 1 species
UAGGGAAUCUUCCACAAUGGGCGCAAGCCUGAUGGAGCAACGCCGCGUGAGUGAAGAAGGUCUUCGGAUCGUAAAACUCUGUUGUUAGAGAAGAACACGAGNGAGAGUAACUGUUCAUUCGAUGACGGUAUCUAACCAGCAAGUCACGGCUAACUACGUGCCAG